UUGCUUUUUAUUCGUCUUAGAAAUUAUGCUCCGUCGUUAUACGUCCAAGACAAAGCACAUAAGAAAAAAUGUGAGCAGGUUCUCUGGCUUUAUGGUGAAGAUGAACAAAUAACUGAAGUUGGCACCAUGAAUAUAUUUCUUUUUAUUGAAAAUGAAAAUGGCGAAGAUGAACUGAUCUCUCCUCCUUUGGACGGUCUAAUAUUACCUGGAGUGACACGAAAGUCGAUGAUUGAACUGGCGCACAAGUGGGUACGACAAGGAUUUAAAUCUUUGAAACUUGGGCAAUGUUAUGCGAGAAUAUUUUUAUCACUGUUUCCAUUUUCGCAUUACCCUUCUUUUCUGUU